rnacentral:lncRNA from 10 species
CUAACUCACUUUUGAGAACCUGCACUAAAAGAGGUAGGGGGUGGGAAAAACUGGGCAGGCCAGCGGAGGUGGGGAGUGGCAGCUCUGAGACCUGAAGCCUCAGAACCAGCUCUCCUCCUCCUCUUCCUCCUCAAGAUGGACCUCAACUCACUGAACUCUGGUUCACUCUUUUGGUCCCAGAGCUAAUUCUUUGGUUGUUUAAGGUUUAGCAUAGGAGACCCCAAAGCAGCAAGGUUCUGGCCCUGGUUCUGCCACUUGCCAGCUCCACGCCCUCAGAUCAGUGGCUUCAGAGCCUCAACGUGCUCAGCUGUGAAACAGGGACAGGGUGAGGCCUUCCCAGGAGUGAGCAGCUGACAGGGGAGCCACGAACAGCCUGGAGAGCUGAGCAUGGGCCUGCUCCACACUCCAGCGGGGCCCGAGGCCCCCGGGAACUCUACCCCUCCUGGCAGCCUCACAGAACCUGCUGCAUCCAUCUCAAAAGGCAUACCUCCUCCAGGAAGCCUUCCCCGCUGCUCAGAGGUCUUAAAUCCGGGGUCUGCACUCACAAACUGUGCAGCCUACACCAGCUUCUGGGGGACAGCAGAACACUGUGGGGGGCCUGGCACAGUCCCUGGCACACGAGCCUCCCUGCCAGCCCAGAUGGUCACAAGGGCCUCCUGGGAUGCUGCCCACCUUGGCAGCCAGGCCCCUCCGGAGGGGCCAGUCUGGGCCUGACACCCCCGAACACCAACCCCCUGGGCAGAGCCUGCCUGUGCCUGGGUGAGGAACCCUGCAGUCUCCUUGCCACACAAGGCCUGGGUCUGCCUUGGGGCCCAGGCUGCACCCUCUCCGACCCCCAGGCCCAAUGUCUGACCUGUGCCCACCUGACUCAACCUGGCUACUGUUCAGCAAGUUUACAAAGUGUUCUCAGUCUGAACAGGAACCGUUUUCAAUCCUUUAUUUCAGAAAGGAGAGCCAGGAGAACUGGGGACUUAGAAAAUACAGAUCCUAAACUCAAAAGUCCCUGC